AGGGCGAAUGGCAGGGCCAGAUGUGGCCCCGGGCAGGCUGGCUCCAGAUGGUGCACGUCUACCGUCUCUGCUGUACCCUUCCCCCUCAAGUUUCUUAUGCAUAUGACUGAUUUGUGUGAGGGUUAAAAAGAGAAUUAAGGGAAGGGGCACUCAAGGGGCUUGGGGCCUCUCCUGCUGUGUCACCACGGCAGCAGCAAAAUCUGGCUCCAGAGCUAGACCAGCAGCCCUGGAGUUCCUGGUGGGGCAAGAGGUGGGCAGAAGCAGCUUCAGUGUGACACAUCAACUCCCCUUGAGACGAACUGAGACAAAUACCCCUGUUCCCUACAUGCGUUUGAGGACGGUAACUCUUGAUUAGAAAGAGGCAUCUCCGGUGUGCUGUUAACUUCUGUAAUAGGUUGGUUGGCUAGCUGGUUGACAGACUCACUGAAUAUAGCCUUGACUUCUGGGAUCAGAAAUAACACAGGAAUGUAAGGAACAUCUCUCCCACUUUUUGUCACCUACCUGGAAUGACUUCGAAGACAAACUUCCCCGCUUCUUCUGGAUUUGUGGCGAUCUCCUUGAUUGUACUUCCAGUUCUCCUGAGACACAAGUGACAUACCACACUGUCCAAGUUCAAGGUACACAGCACAAUGAUUUGACCCACAAACAUCAUGAAAUGAUCACUGUAAUAAGUCUGGUGAACAUCCAUCAUCUCAUAUAAAUAUAAAAAAAAGUUCUAUUUGCCUAAUGAUUUGCUAUAUUUUACUAUCAUUUUUCUUCAUAUAGUUAUUUACACUUAACCAAUUUGUGUGGUAGAAAUAGCAUCUAACACUGUGCUACUGUACUUCCGUUCUCAAUUCUGAGUUCAGGGAUGCUGGUAGCUUGAAUCAGCCAUGGUGGGAGUAUUUACACCACAGAAAUUGGCAAGUGCUUCGUCCAAAAUAGUUCCUCUACCAGCCGGCUGUCAGUUAAAUACUUCCCAGCACGCCCCCGAUAGACAACCAUCUGUUCUGACUUCAGAGAAAGCAGAUGAAGCAACGGGACAGCUACGCCAGGAUUGUCUAAAACCAUCAUGGUAGCAGAGACUUGAGAGCAAUUCACUGAGAUUCUGUUUUAAACAACUUCCUUCACAAAGAAACUUUUGGAAUGAGUUAUAGAAAACUAGGUCAUGGACUUACAGGGCAUUAUACUGUUAGAGCUGGACAGACCUUUCUGAGAACUCAGAGGAAAAAAUGUACAGACUGCCUUCUCCCAAACCCCCCCUGGAAGAGCAUAAAUAAGAGUCCAUUACACAGGGCUCUGUAAUUUACUUAAUCAUUCUCCUUUGUCAGACACUUCAUCCAAUGUUUCUCAUUACAAACAGCACUGCACAUAUCUGAUUUCUUUUGAAGAGCUUCUUAAAACCAGAAUGACAGGGUCAUUCUGGAUAUGAUAUUUUUGGCUCUUAGAAAUCUAGCCAAAUUGC